GCUGCCUUUCUAUCAGCUAUUAUAGUUAACCCUCUUGAUGUUGCCAAGACAAGGUUACAGGCGCAGGCUGCAGGGGUUCCUUAUUCCCACCCACUUAGCAACAUCACUAGUCGAAUGGCGUAUUUUGGGCCAAACAUGAUGUUUGCUGAUCUUAGGUGUUCUCCAUCAUGCACGCGCGCUGGAGUUCAUGGAACAGUUUCGAUUUGCCCCCCUGAUUGUU
rnacentral:misc_RNA from 1 species